rnacentral:lncRNA from 1 species
UGUAACUCCUUUUUCUUGUAUUUCUCCUCUUCUUCUCCGCCCUCUCUCGAAACCGAUGACACGGCUUUCUUUCCAUUGAUAGAGAAUGACUUUUCUUUCCAUUGAAAAUCAGAGUAAGAGUACAAAUUUUCAACCGGUAGUACCUUCCCUCUCUGUUGCUGCAUCUUUCUAUCCUCCUUUUUCCUUUUCCCUUCUCCCUUUUUCAUUAGAGUUCCAUCUCUGUCUUUUGAUGUUCAGAUUAUUUUUGCAGAUUUGAUUCAUUAUCUUUUUUGGUCUAAUGUGCCUUGCUCUGUAAAAUUUUGCAACUUUAUUGUUCAAAUUUGUCUCACUGAUUUGCUCAAUCAAAUCACUUAUUUCCUCUUUUCAGGUUUCAGGAAUCGCUCUCUACAUCAAAUCUCGGUUCUCUCGGUCAACAUUCUGAGCGCUAAUCUACCCAUUUGGGUUUUCUGAUUACAACUGCUUUUUGAAUGUGUUUAACUACUUCGGUGAAACACUUCACUUAUUCUCUUUUAUCAUGUUAAUUAAUUCCCUAUUCCCUCUUAUAUUUUGAUUAUUUAUACCUUUGUGACAGAGAUGUGGCCAAGGGCAAAACAAGGGCCUAUAACAGACACUCUUGGAACUUCUAUUGGUUCAUCAUUUAUACUUUACGUUUUAUUUUCAUCUGCUUUUUGUUUUCAACUGUUAGAGAGACUUAUUUUGCCUAUCAUGUAAUGUGGAUUCUACAUUUUAAUUUUCAUGUUAGUAGGUAAAUUUGUCAUUAUUGGCAGCAAGUAUUGCCCUCUCAGGUACCUGUUCAUGUCAUACUGGGUUUUUAUAUAUGGCAAGUGUUAGUAUAAGAGAAUUUAUGUAUCUGAAACAGGACAACUCAAACU